rnacentral:rRNA from 1 species
CUUCAUCAGAGGAAAAACCUGGUGGUGCUCAUGAAGAUUGACAUAUCCAAAGCUUUUGACACACUUUCUUGGGAGUUUCUUAUUGAAGUUCUCAGAAGGAGGGGCUUCAGAACAAGGUGGAUCUCAUGGAUAUGCGGGCUCCUUAGCACGACCUCAACCUCGGUGCUCAUCCAUGGAGCCACUAGCGAGCCCUUCGCCCUUGCUAGUGGAGUCAGAUAAGGUGAUCCGAUCUCCCCGGCGCUGUUUAUCCUUGCCAUGGAUUCACUUCAUGCCAUGAUGGAAUGGGCGACACGCCAAAAUCUGCUUGUUGCGAUUGGAUUAAAUAGAAGAAUCCCGAGAGUUUCAGUUUAUUCUGAUGAUGUGGUUCUAUUCUUUGGCCCAGACAGCGUCAACCUUUAG